UCGAUUUAGUCAUGAUUCGUCAGGUUGAUACGCAUUACUGCUGCUGCUGCUGCUGCUGCUCGGGCACAAUUGUUUGUUUUUUUUUUUUUUUAAUAAUACAUCUAUCGAGGCCGAAAGAGGCUUUAUUUUUGCCCAAACCAAAAAAAAAACGUUAAAAUUAUUGAAAAAUACUGUAAAGGUCGAAAUCGAUGAAUUAAUACAUUUAAUUCUACAAAGCAGUACGUACUUAUUCAAUCCUGACUUAGUAGGUAGAGCACGUUUCCGACAUGGGUUAUAUACCUCUAUUAUACUAAGACUGCUGACGAUAUAUGUGCUUAAUUAGCUCUUUAUAAGUGCGUAAAACUUCUUUAUAUGCUAUCAGAUUGUUGACUAGCUACUACUUAGCUUCGUAUGUCAACGAAAACUUUUUUCAUAGAAACUUCUUUUCAUCAGUGUAAAUAGAAUAUUACGUGCAGUCAAGGGAAGCAAGGUAAGUGGUUACAUUCAAUAACGGGUGUACACUCUAACCAUGCGCGAUACAAUGUGCAGUCCGCGAAACAGUGAGCGCAUUGAAAAGGCAAAUGACGAGCGCGGUAGCUUCAGCAAAUCACGAUGGCUCACUAAUGAAUCCUGCUUGCUAGUCAGCAAGAUCAGGCAGACUCGUACAAGCCGGCGCAGUCCAACGGACAAGUCGCCUGUGUCUAGGUAACUCGAUUAUUUUUAAAAAGGCUAUCGUGUUAAUCGUAAUGAUGAAUACUUUACAACACCCCCGAAAAACUGACGGCGGAAGAGGUGACGCUAUCGAGAUCGACAACAACAUUCGAAACUUCUCUCCUGCUUCUGUCCUAAAAUAUCUCCGCAAUGAAUUUUUACGCGUCCGUAUACAUCAUGGAAGUGACCUUGUGUACUAAGAACAGAAAGCAGUAGGAUCAGAAAAAGCGCACAAAUAUGCCGGGAAUAAAUUCGACCAACUGGCUACCGUGGAAUCGCCGAUAUCGUGAACGUGAUGGGUUCCAUAGCACAGAAAUAUCUAGAUGCCCCGCACCGUUAAGACCUCGGAAGCACUGGUUUCGGAUAUGGCUAUAAUCAGUCGUAUGCUCUGUACUAAUUAGUUAACGCCACCGCAAAGAUCCACGAUAACGGCGAUACAGACGAAUCUGUGGGGUCCGGAGGUCUGUCUUUCAUAUAUAUAUAUAUAAUUUUUUUGGUGCAUCAUAUCAUUGCCCCCGUUUUUAAAAUCCAGAAAGACCACGAGAUUUCAACGUGCUAAGGAGGUCAAUGUAAAGUUAUCGCACAAUUUUUAAGUAAAGUUCUAAAUAAUGUUUUCCAUAUUUCUAAAUGUCUUUCCAUUAAUCUUAUUCUUUCAGUUAUUGUCUGUCAUAUGUUGUUUACACUCGUCUGCUUAGAGCAUGAAUGCACUGAUACUUGCUUACGUAUUGCUCAAAAAGCUAAUAACUGGAGCCAAUCAUAGACGUACCGGCAUAAAUGACGUAGUACAUAUAAAAGCCAUUUCGUUGUCCUUUUUUUUUGUGAAACCUUCAC